rnacentral:rRNA from 1 species
CCUACGGGGGGCUGCAGUGAGGAAUAUUGGUCAAUGGGCGGGAGCCUGAACCAGCCAAGCCGCGUGAGGGCAGAAGGUACAGCGUAUCGUAAACCUCUUUUGUCAGGGAACAAACGCUGGGACUAGUCCCCGUAUGAGGGUACCUGAAGAAAAAGCAUCGGCUAACUCCGUGCCAGCAGCCGCGGUAAUACGGAGGAUGCGAGCGGUAUCCGGAUUUAUUGGGUUUAAAGGGUGCGCAGGCGGCCUGUUAAGUCAGCGGUAAAAGCCCGGGGCUCAACCCCGGCGAGCCGUUGAAACUGGCGGGUUGGAGUUGGAGAGAAGUACGCGGAAUGCGCGGUGUAGCGGUGAAAUGCUUAGAUAUCGCGCAGAACCCCGAUUGCGAAGGCAGCGUACCGGCUCCACACUGACGCUGAGGCACGAAAGCGUGGGUAUCGAACAGGAUUAGAUACCCGGGUAGUC